rnacentral:rRNA from 1 species
GACAGCAGCCGCCACGGGAAUACAGAGGGUGCAAGCGUUAAUCGGAAUUACUGGGCGUAAAGCGCGCGUAGGUGGUUUGUUAAGUUGGAUGUGAAAUCCCCGGGCUCAACCUGGGAACUGCAUCCAAAACUGGCAAGCUAGAGUAUGGUAGAGGGUGGUGGAAUUUCCUGUGUAGCGGUGAAAUGCGUAGAUAUAGGAAGGAACACCAGUGGCGAAGGCGACCACCUGGACUGAUACUGACACUGAGGUGCGAAAGCGUGGGGAGCAAACAGGAUUAGAUACCCGAGUAGUCCCUGUCUCUUAUAC